ensembl:lncRNA
GUGGGGUUGCUGUAUUUUUUUGUCUCUCGAGGAUGUUGCGACACAAGACAAAGCCUGUCAGAAGUUUGCGGAGGAAAGGACCUUUUUACGCACGCGAGAAAAAUCACAGUUGGCUGAUGGAUAGUUUGUAAAUACUUCUUUUUUCCUUCUUAGUGCAGUAGUUUUAUGACUGUUGUGUUUACGUUCUUGCGAAGUUGUCUUUCUGCACUAUGGGAAUUCCGCGCAGUGCAAUCAGGUGUAAAGUCUCCAAGAAACAAGAAACGGUGGGAAUUUAAGCAAUUUAACCAGUACAGUGCUUGCUUCUGAUGGAUUAAGAAAAUAAAAAAGAUGUGUAGAAAAAAAAACACACGGAAGAUGUACAGAUUCACCUAUCAAGCCAUUUUUAAGAUGAAAUGAAGGAUUAAGAGACUGUUCACUUUUCUUCUGGAUGAACAUGAAGACUUAUCUCAUGAGGAUUUAGACUUCAGCAGCAGCAGCGCCAGUCGGAUUGUGUUUUAGGCACACUUGGAAAUCUAAACCUCAUGGAGAUACUUUGAGGAUUAUAAAAGAUGUGCAUGUAGAAUGCCACCAUACAAGACGCGUCCUGGGCCAAAGUCCUUGGGAUAGCAGGAUAUUGCUUUCCUGAUCCUUCUCAGCCCCCAGAAUGGGGAGUGUGGGAGUGGUGAGGUCUGGGAGAUCACGACCUUAAUUCUCUCCAAGACAGACGGUUUAAUUAACACUGGAAGAAUCCUCACUGACUCCAGACCUCUACAGUGAGAAUGUACAGGGGAAUUGGCUUGCCAAGGUCCUCUUGGCCAUAGACUGAAAUGCUGACAGACGAUGCCCAUGAAUGAUGAAUGAUGACUGGAGGUCUGUCUGGUGCCAGCAGAAUGCAUAAUACAGCAUCGAUACAGCAAUCGCAGUCCUCCUCAGCAGAAACAUGGUGCAGUUUCUGUAUCACAUUAUUGGAAGAUUUGCCCCAAGCAGGACAGCAGGACCACUCAAAGUGGAAAUCAACCGCAAUGUUGAAUGUUGUUUCGGUUGGAGUCCUAAAUGAAGCAGCAUUACAAAGAGUUUUCUGAUCUACACAGAAGCUUACAGGAAACUGAAGAAGACGGGUGAGGUUAAAGAGGACAGCACGAUGGAAAAAACAAGAAUGAAAGCAGCCAGUGAUAAAUAUUAACUUUUGUGAAACAUUUUGAGCAUUUGCAUCACUAAAAGUCCUCAUAUAUAGCUGUUUGUCAUCGCCUUAAACUGCUAGAAUUUGAUUUUAAAAAUACGGGUAUCAUGUAGCGGUUCGAGUUAGAAGCUGGGAAUAUGCAAUCACAUCUGUAAGAGUUACAUUUCGCAGCUCAUUGUAUCUCUGACUGCAAAAUAAAGUUUGAUAACAAUCUGUUUUUGUGUUAUUAAUAUGUUGUAUGGAAAUAAAGAAAAAAAACCAAUGAAAGCACUUUUUAAAUGCUUUUUUGUAAAUCUGUUUUAAAAAAAAACAAUAUGUCUGCACAAGGGCCUGUAAUUAAAAGGGAAAAGGGC